rnacentral:rRNA from 1 species
CACGUAGUUAGCCGGCGCUUCUUCCCCCACUACCAUCAACACAGCCAAAACUGUGCCUUUUUCGCGAGAAAAAGGAGUUCACAACCCGAAGGCCUACACCCUCCACGCGGCGUCGCUGCAUCAAACUUUCGUCCAUUGUGCAAUAUUCCCCACUGCUGCCUUCGUAGGAGUCUGGGCCGUAUCUCAGUCCCAGUGCGACCGACCACCCUCUCAGGCCGGCUACCCGUCAAAGCCUUGGUAAGCCAUCACCCCACCAACAAGCUGAUAGGCCGCGAGCCCACCCAAUCCCAGAAAAAAACCUUUCCAAAACCACACCCAUGCGAUGCAGCCUGAAUAUCCAGUAUUAGCAGCCGUUUCAGCCGUUAUCCCAAAGAAAAGGACAGGUUACUCACGUGUUACUCGCCCGUUCGCCACUAAUCCACGAGUGCAAGCACCCGCUUCAUCGUUCGACUUGCAUGUGUUAAGCACGCCGCCAGCGUCUCUGAGCCAGGACGUCAAACUACUCGUAGUAGACG